rnacentral:rRNA from 1 species
UAGGAAUUGGCGGGGGAGCACCACAACGGGCGGAGCUUGCGGUUUAAUUGGAUUCAACGCCGGAAAUCUUACCGGGACCGACAGCAAUAUGAAGGCCAGGCUGAAGACUUUGCCGGAUUAGCUGAGAGGUGGUGCAUGGCCGUCGUCAGUUCGUACUGUGAAGCAUCCUGUUAAGUCAGGCAACGAGCGAGACCCACGCCCACAGUUGCCAGCGUACUCUCCGGAGUGACGGGUACACUGUGGGGACCGCCGCUGCUAAAGCGGAGGAAGGAAUGGGCAACGGUAGGUCAGUAUGCCCCGAAUAUCCCGGGCUACACGCGAGCUACAAUGGUUGGUACAAUGGGUAUCUACCCCGAAAGGGGACGGAAAUCUCCUAAAACCAAUCUUAGUUCGGAUUGAGGACUGCAACUCGCCCUCAUGAAGCUGGAAUCCGUAGUAAUCGCGUUUCAACAGAAACGCGGUGAAAUACGUCCCUGCUCCUUGCACACACCGCCCGUCAAACCACCCGAGUUAGGGUCUGAAUGAGAGCGCUUACAUUGGAGGCGUUCGAAUUUG